rnacentral:rRNA from 1 species
GGGCCCGCACAAGCGGUGGAGUAUGUGGUUUAAUUCGAUGCAACGCGAAGAACCUUACCAGGGUUUGACAUCCUGCGAAUCUCUUGGAAACUUGAGAGUGCCUUCGGGAGCGCAGUGACAGGUGGUGCAUGGCUGUCGUCAGCUCGUGUCGUGAGAUGUUGGGUUAAGUCCCGCAACGAGCGCAACCCACGUCUUUAGUUGCCAGCAGUUCGGCUGGGCACUCUAUGGAAACUGCCCGUGAUAAGCGGGAGGAAGGUGUGGAUGACGUCAAGUCCUCAUGGCCCUACGGGUUGGGCUACACACGUGCUACAAUGGUGGUGACAAUGGGUUAA